CACGUAGGGGGCGAGCGUUGUCCGGAUUUAUUGGGCGUAAAGAGCUCGUAGGUGGUUCGGUAAGUCGGAUGUGAAAUCUCCAGGCUCAACCUGGAGGGGUCAUUCGAUACUGCCGUGACUAGAGGUCGGUAGGGGAGUGUGGAAUUCCUGGUGGAGCGGUGAAAUGCGCAGAUACCAGGAGGAACACCCGUAGCGAAGGCGGCACUCUGGGCCGAUACUGACACUGAGGAGCGAAAGCGUGGGGAGCGAACAGG
rnacentral:rRNA from 1 species